CUUUCACCCUGAUGUGAUGUCAUUCUUUUUACCCAAAAGUCCAUCAUUUUCUUGCUAUUUUGAUUGAUUCAAAAUUGGGGACUAUUAUAGUUCUCACCGUAGUUGGUAGCUAGAAAACUCAUGUUAACUCGGUUAAAUAGCUAUUCAACAUUGGGUUUUGAACUUGUGAGACAUGAUUGAACAUAAGAGUCCUUGCUUUUACUUCCAAAUAAUGGGGAGACCGGUUAUGUCUUUUGGCUAUUUUGCACUGAAAAAUGGAUGCUUCAAGAUCUCUACAUGAAAUCAUCUAUGUUAACCCUAAUUUUUCACCCACUUCCCUGUUUAAGUCAUGCGAGUAUAGUUUCCCAUUCUCAAUAAUUAAUACUGAUUUUCAAGGUAAAACUGGAACUGGGUUUAACAUAUCCUCUUUCUUACUUUACGAUAUAUUCUUUUUGAAAAGGAAGUCUCGUCAUUGAAUUAAAGAAAUGAGACUAAUGCUCAAGGUACAAAAAUAGAUAUAAUGGACAAGAAAGAAGACGAGUCCUCUACUUCUUUGAACUAUCUAACUUAAAAGACAAGCCCCUCUACUUUUUUGUGACCCCCGGUGGGUUGUUUCUUUUCUAAGACAAUUUCUUUCAGUCUGAUUCUAUGUUGAUUGUGCUUUUGUGCUUGCCAACUAUCUGUUUCUUUUUGGUGUGUCCUAGAGAGGAGAUUACUUCAACAAUGUUGGAUAUGUAUUCCAUUGAACGUUAAAUCAUGAUCUCAUUCAAUUCUAAUUGUUGAGGUGGAAAUCGAGUACCACAAGCCAAAGAACUUGAAGCAAAUGACGGAGAAAAUGUGAUUCUUGAACGAUUCUCUUUGGAAGGUGGUUUUUUAGUGAUUGGUCCUUUGCAUGCGGUUUUGAAUGAGCUUGAAGGAAACAUCUUUUUGGGUUUACGGUCGAUGGAGAGGCUCAUCUUUUCGUGGUCUCAAAAUUAUCCCUUUGAUCAUAAUCAUUUUGUUCAAAAAGUAGGAGGUUGGUUUGGUCAUACUUUGUUGAACAAGUUUAUUUCAAUCCUUGUUUGCUUCAUGACUUUUUUCUUUUUAAAACUGGAAUGAUGCCUGAACUCCAGGAUGAGAAGAAUAGAAGAGUGCCAUGACAUGUAAUCGUACUCCAAUAAGAAACUUCUGAGCAUAUUCAAGAACGAGAGUCAUACUUGGCUUUGAAACUCUUGAGAAAACGUGAACAAAGGAUUGAUGUCUCACAGUAUGCCAAUCAACAAAUCUUAGAAUCCAGUCUGUUGAAGCUCGAAACUUUGUUAGUCUUGUAUUACCACUUUCAUCCCUUCCAUUUUUUUACCAAGAACUUUUGUUAUGGUUCAUGAACAAUUUCAGAAGUUUAGUCAAUAAACAAUCGUAUUCCAUUCUUUUACCAAGAACUUUUGGGAAACCAUUGUUGUAUGUUGCUACAACUGGGGACAUUUUGUAUAUUGUUAAGAAAUUAUAUUUAAAGCUUUAGAAUGCUUCCCGCAUCUACACUUUUACAGAAACAAGUCCAUGAGUGCAAGGAAGGGACCAUGGAUGUUACAUCCUUCUUUAACAAAUUAUCUCUAAUUUGGCAGGAAAUGGAUUUAUACGGAGAAAUUGUUUGGGAUUGUCUUUACGGAGGUGUCCGAUACUUCAGAAUAGGGGAGGUUGACCUGUAUAUGAUUUCCUUGUUGGUCUGAAUUCCAAGUUUGACUUGGUUCGUGAUCGAAUACUGGGUCAAAGACCUAUCUCGAUCUUAAUGGAUUUGUGUUCAGAACUUCGUUUAGAGGAAGACCAUACAAGUGCGAUGAACAUCGUCACUAUUCCGUCUAUUGAUUCUGUUGUCUUCAUUGUAAAGUCCAACUCUAACAAUGCUAUGUAGAAUGGGAAACUUGUCCUAGCUUGUGAGCAUUGCAAGUAACCGUGACCUUUAUGAGUGAUUCUGCCGCUGCUCCAUUGACCUCAAUCUUUACAAGAAAUCACAGUGAUCCUGGUAUGCCCUCACUUAGAGCCACUACACAAGGGCUUGAGCUCGGAGAGGAUGAUUGGCACUGUUUGGCCCAGUAGGGGACUCAAAUUCCUUGAUGAUGAUGCUUUCUUUAGGUCCUAUUCUAGGACUAGUUUAUUGUCUUCUUAUUUUUCCAUUUUUGAAACGGUUGUACGUUGUGGCAUUUCAUCUUGGCCAUCCAAAUUUUCAAUAUAUGAAAUAUUGUUUCCUCACUCGUUUUCUAAAGUGGAUGUUUCGUCAUUGUCUUGUGAUGUUUGUGUUCGUGCGAAACAACCUCAAGUCCCAUUUCCUUUCCAACCCUACAAACCUACUAAACCUUUUACUCUUAUUAAUAACGAUGUUUGGAGGCCCUCCCAGGUCACUACUACCUUGUGGAAAUGUUGGUUUGUUACCUUUAUCGAUGAUCAUACCCGUCUCAAUUGGGUCUUUCUUCUCCUCACUGAUAAAUAUGAGGUUUCAUCGAUUUUCCAACAGUUCUACCCCACCAUUUAAACCUAGUUCAACGUUAAAUUCGCCAUUUUACGUGACAAUAGUCGGGAGUACUUAAAUCAUAUCCUUAAUGGGUUUUUGUGCUCUAAAGAGAUUGUCCACCAAAGUUUCUAUGCUUAUGCCCCUUAGCAAAACGGGGUAUCUAAACGAAAAAACCAUCACCUCCUUGAGGUACUUGAUCUCUUGUGUUGUUUACCUCUCUCAUCUUACUUAGAUUCUAUUCUCACUACGACUCAUCUAAUUAAUCGAAUGUCAUCUUGUGUUUUCCAUCUCCAAACUCCUCUAAGUGUCUCAAGGAGUUCUACCCUGCCAUCGACUUAUAUCUGAUAUUCCUCUUCAGAUGUUUGGAUGCACUGCAUUUGUGCACAAUUACGGUCUUAAUCAAACCAAAACUUGUGAUUUUCGCUAAGCGCACAAGACAAUGGGAUGUAAAUGGAUAUUCACUCUGAAGUAUUAAUCAGACUGAACAUUAGACCGAUAUAAGGGCAAGUUAGUUGCAAAAGGGUUCACUCAGAUAUAUGGAAUGGACACCUUAGAGACGUUUCCUCUUGUGACGAAGUUAAACACAAUCAGGUUUCUUCUACCUGUUAGAGUCAAUUAGGAGUGGCCUCUUCACCAACUUGAUGUAAACCAUCCUAAAAGGUAAUUUGGAAGAAGAAGUGUACAUGAGUCCCCCUCUAGAAUUUGAGGUCAAAAAUUUAACCAUUAAUUUUGUGAACUUCGAAAAUAUUUCUAUGGACUGAAACAAUCUUCUAGGGCUUGGUUUGAUUGAUUCACCACAUUUGUUAAGUCCCAAGGUUACACUCAUGGACACUUUGAUCAUGUGCUGUUUAUGAAGAGUUUUGAUUCUGGAAAAAUUGUUGUGUUGAUUGUUUAUGUCGAUGAUAUUGUCUUAUCAAGGGAUGAUACUGCUGAGAUUAUCAGGUUAAAAAGGAAGAUGGGUUACGAGUUUGAGAAAGACCUGUGGAAUCUAAAUUGGAGGUUGCAUGAUGAAGGGAAGGAAUUUCGGUUUCACAAAGGAAAUAUACACUUAACUUGUUGAAGGAAACAUGUAUAACCGGUUGCCGUUCAGUCGAUACCCCUAUGGAGUUCAAUGUAAAAAUGGGAAGUUCGGUGACAAGUUCCUCUUAAUAAAGAAAAGUAUCAGCUGUUAGUGGGAAAGUUGAAUUAUCUAUCCCAUUCUAAACCAAAAUUCUCCUAUUUAGUAAGUAUAAAGAGUCCGUUUAUGCAAGCUUUGUACGAAGAGCACAUGGGAGCUGUAAACUGUAUUAUGCGAUAUUUGAAAACUACUCAAGGAAUAGGUUUGAUGUUUAGGAAGGCUAGCAAAAGUGCAUUGAGGCCUAUACCAACGCAGAUUGGGUAGGAUCGGUGACUGAUAGAAGGUCUACUUUGGGAUAUUGUACCUUUGUGUGGGACAACCUUGUAACUUGGAGGAGCAAGAAGCAUGGGGUUGUUGCUAGGAGUGGUACGGGAGUUGAAUACCGAGCUGAGUUUGGAAAUUGUGAAGAGAUUUGGUUACAAAAUGUCUUGUCUCACCUUCACCAAGGAUGGUGAGUUACCUGUGAAGCUAUUAUGUGAUAUCAAAGUCGCUAUCACCAUAACUAAUAACCCUGUACAACAUGACAAAACUAAACGUGUGGAAAUUGACAAACACUUCAUUAGUGAGAAACUUGACAACGACAAUAUGUGUAUUAUGUACAUUCCAUCAAAUCAACAAAUUGCUGAUGUUCUUAUUGAAGGGUUAACCAGGCAGAAUUUCGAUUCAUGUAUUAGCAAGUUGGGUUUGAUUGACAUCUACGCUGCAACUUGAGGGGGAGUGUUGUAACUAAUUGUACUAAGGGUAUUUGCGUAAUCUUUUACCCUUGUUUAUAUCCUUUUUUGUCAAGGCCCAUUAUGGCCUAUAAAUAUUCCCCCUUGUAUUGUUUUGAUAAUAAGAAAAAUAUACGAAAGACUCAUAUCGUGGUUUUUUCUUCCUAAA